AAGGCAAUGAAGAAAAAGAAUUUGUUUCAAGCCAACGUGGAUUUCCUCUGAUGGAAACGCGAGUUACGGCUCGGGCCGCGGAUCGUGAAGCAACCUGUGCAGACCCGAUUGGCAUCACAUCAUCGCUUUUAGACGAAGAAAAAUUAGAAUUUAUUCCAAGCAACGGUGGCAAAUUUACUCUGGUGUAUAAAGGGUACACUUACUACAGCAAGUGCAAUAAUACAAGUCGUUGGUACUGCUCGAAGACACUCUUCGGCUGUACAGCUAAAGUAAUCACGACCAAAGAUGGAGGUUCUUUCUUAGAUGCUACUGGUUUCCAUGACCAUCCCCCGCCAAAUCUUUUUCAACUUCCUGAUGGCACAUUUCACCUUGUUUGAUGUACCUAUGAUUGAAUAUGAAACUUUUACCGCUUAAGUCAAGACAAUAGCCUUGAGUACAUCCCAAGCAACAAGGGGAAGAAGUUUAACCUUGUCUAUCAAGGGUUUACCUACUACAGAAUGCAUAGUAAAACGAGAUGGUAUUGCUCAAAGAAAUAUGUUGGAUGCAAUGCCAAGGUCUGCACGACGCCAACUGGACAACUAGUGGCUGUUUUGGGCAACCACGAUCAUCGUCCACCCACUCUAUAUCGUGCAUCUGAUGGAAAAGUCACCCGUGUAUAGGUAAUUGUGAAGGUAUAUCAUCUAUCUCUUCUUUGCUCAUUCCCAUGAUCCUAAUUUGACGGAAGAAGAAGAGUGAAGUAUAAGGAGUGGAAUUCUCUGCCGUCUUCUGUAUUUCCGAAUGCACAUACCUAACCCGGGUGAUUUCAAGGCCAGAGUGAACAGGCACCUUCUGGGCGAGCUCCAUCUUAGGUUCCUCGUCAAUGCCUUCGGGCAAGCCUGAGGCCAAGAGCAAACCCAUCAAUGGUAAAAAAAAUCCUGUCCGUGGUAGUCUACAUGUAAGUGACUUCAAAACAUGAUUAUUUCAUACAAAAGACAUUGUAGAUCUUUGUAUGAGCUUUGGUCCAAAUGCUGCCCAGGUAGUGCCUGUGCUGGUUUUAGAUACUAAUGGCAUUGAUUUGUGACUUUUAGUUAUAUUAAAUCCAUAGUUAUAUUUUUUUUGAAGUUUGUUUGCUUGUCGCAAUUUUUUGUAUUUUUUUUUAUUUGUAUUCCUGUGUUGUAUGUUC